UGAUUCAAUUACCUCCCACUGAAUCCCUCCCACAACAUAUGAGAAUUCUAGGAGAUACGAUUCAAAUUGAGAUUUGAAUGGGAACACACCCAAACCAUAUCAUUCUGCCCCUGGCCCCUCCAAAUCUCAUGUCCUCACAUUUCAAAACCAAUCAUGCUUUCCCAGCAG